CGUCCUGGAGGGCCCGGAGGCGGCGGCGGCGGUGGCGGCGUCCUGGAGGGCCCGGAGGCGGCGGCGGCGGCGUCCUGGAGGGCCCGGAGGCGGCGGCUCCUCAUCCAAAGAAAUGAGGCGACGUUGCGGAGGUCCAGGCGGUUGGCCCGGUGGAGGUCCUGGAGGAGACGGUCCCGGCGGUGGAGGACGGCUGGGGGAUCCGGCGGUGGAGGUCCGAAGGCGGCUCGUGAUUAGACCAACCAGCUCCUCAUCCAUGGAAGGAUUGAAGGAGUCACUGGGGAUGAAGAUCACUGCUCAGGGGCUGACGACCACUCAUCUUUCCGGAGAAGGUACAUAAAUCUACAGCUGAUGUGAUUAAAGUUAUGCAGUUCAGAUCCGCUG